rnacentral:lncRNA from 1 species
AUAAAUUAUUUUCGAUGAUAGAGCUUUCGAAUCGAUAAUCUAUACCAUUAAAUAUAAUCUAAAGUAUUUAAAAUUUUUAGAAAUCAAAUUUUUGUAAUUUUUUCAAAAUUAUAAUAAAGUUCAUCAACCAUGCAUAAAAUAAAUGGUCAAAAUCGAACAACUACUUAAAAAUAGAGAAUUUGAUGCUUCAAUUUAAGAUCAGAAUUAUUGAUCUUUUUCUAAAUAGUAAAUAGAAUUUUCGAUAAAAAAUUCAAUCGAUUCCGAUUUUUUUAUACUAUUAUACUAGCAAGUAUCUCAUAUCGACCGUUAAAAAUUAUUAAUUUUGGUAUCUUUUGAUCAUCAGAUAAAUGACAUUACAAAAUUGUGAAACUUGGUUUCUAGAAAUUUGAAAUGCUCAAAAUCAUAUUUAAUAGUAUGGAUCGUCGAUUCAGAAGCUCUAUCAUCGAAAAAACUUAUGAGUACGAAGGCGAUCGUACUUAUAAGAGUAUAGUAGCCAGACUCUCUCUCUCUCUCUCUCAUCUUAACUAGACAUCCCUUCAUCCAAGGGCUAAAAACCUAAUAGCAAUUUAAAUUAAAAUUUAAAAUUUAAAAUUUAAAAUUUAAAUUUGAAGUUUAUAAAUUUAAAAUUUAAAAAUUAAAAAUUUAAAUUCAAAAUUUAAAAUUUAAAAGUUGACAAUUCAAAAUUUUAAAUUAAAUUUUUAAAAAUAAUGUAUUGAAAGGGUUUCGGAAGUUAGAAAGGUAAAAUUGUCAUUUUACAUAAUAUACAGUAUUACUGGUUUU